UAGGGAAUCUUCGGCAAUGGACGAAAGUCUGACCGAGCAACGCCGCGUGAGUGAAGAAGGUUUUCGGAUCGUAAAACUCUGUUGGUAGAGAAGAACGUUGGUGAGAGUGGAAAGCUCAUCAAGUGACGGUAACCACCCAGAAAGGGACGGCUAACUACGUGCCAG
rnacentral:rRNA from 1 species